rnacentral:rRNA from 1 species
AGAGUUUGAUCAUGGCUCAGAACGAACGCUGGCGGCGCGUUUAAGCAUGCAAGUCGAGCGGCAAGGGCCUUCGGGCCCCUAGAGCGGCGGACGGGUGAGUAGCACGUGGACAAUCUGCCCCCCGGCCCGGGAUAGCCCAGGGAAACCUGGAUUAAUACCGGAUGAGACGGGACCCGCGAUGGCGGGACCCGGGAAAGGCGCUGCGGCGCCGCCGGGGGAUGAGUCUGCGUCCCAUUAGCUAGACGGCGGGGUAACGGCCCACCGUGGCGACGAUGGGUAGCCGGCCUGAGAGGGUGGACGGCCACAUUGGAACUGAGACACGGUCCAGACUCCUACGGGAGGCAGCAGCUAAGAAUCUUCCGCAAUGGGCGAAAGCCUGACGGAGCGACGCCCGCGUGAACGAAGAAGGCCGUGAGGUUGUAAAGUUCUUUUCGGGAGGGGGAACAACCGUGGCAGGGAAUGGCCGCGGGAUGACGUGAAUCCCGGAAUAAGCCCCGGCUAACUACGUGCCAGCCGCUGC